UAAUAAUUAAAGAUGUUCAAACAACUCACUUGACAGAGAGCACAAACAACACAAAUUUAUCACAAUAGGUAAUCAGAAUAUCAUGGGAAACUAACUGACAGAAAAUUCACAUAUAUUGAAAUAGUAAAACAGAUUACCAAUUAUCAAGUCUUCAUUCUAAAUGUUCACAUAAAUUACACACACACACACACAUGUACACGCACAAAAAUUGUUCUAGUUCUUGCAAAUCAACAGAAUACAUCCAGACAAGCACAAGUCCGAAUUUCACAGGAACCCACUCACAUCUAAUACAUAGAAAUUUCAGAGAGGGAGAGAGAACAGUAGCAAGUGUUGGAGAAGGAGAAAGUGAUUCAGAAGAAGCAGGGAAGCAGCAAGGUAGGCAAAGAAGAAGCAGCAGCAGAGGUACAAAGAGAAGGAGCAGCCAGAGAAGUUGGGGAGCGGCAGCAGGAAGUGAAGGGGAAGGAGCAGCAGGGGGACGUUGGGAGGAGGAGAGGUUCAGAGAAGAGCUUCAGCAAGGAAGAGCAGCAGGGGGCGCAGGAGAUGAAGAGCAGCAACAACUUUAGGGGAAGCAGAGUAGGAGAAGCAGAGAGAGGAGCAGCAGCAGGGGCGUGGGAGAAAGCAGCAGCAGUUGGAGGCGCGCGGGGGAUCAGACACCGGCGACCCCAAUGGCUGGUCCAUGGUGUGAGUGGCAAGGGGAAGCAGCAGGGAGAGGUGGAUGGGUGGUGUGGUGCUGGUGGAUGGAGGUGAUGGUGGUACUGGGUGCUGUUGGUGUAGUAGAUGGAGGCUGCUGGCGCACCACCACGCCGGCCUGGCCGUGGCGGCGGCCGGACGUGGAGAAGGAGGGAUGAGGGAGAGAGAUGUGUGCCAGGCCUGAUGGGGAAUGGAGCCGAUCUAGGGAUUUUGAUCCCCUCCCUGAUCUGCAAACUUUACACAUUAGCCCUCCUCCUUCUCUUCUUUCUUCACAAGAAGGUCCUCUCACUUCUUUAGCAAGCCCCCUGGUUACUUCUUUUCAUCUCACUCAAGUAUCUUCUUCCUUCUCUUCUUUUCUUCACUCUUCUCGAUAACCACCUAGACAAAAUCUUGACGAUUAUUGGUGCCUUUGCGCACGUUUCUGCAAGAUAGACCAAAGACUAGUAAAUGAUCUUUUUUAUGAUUAUCAAGCAAUAUUCAAUCAAUCAUGGCAAGAAUGGACGGAUAUAUCACGAUAGAUGCUACAUUUGAGUACCAAAAUUAUAUAUGUGAAAUAUACUUAUCAAGUUCCCCCACACUUAAAUCUUUACUUGUCCUCAAGUAAAGGCAUAUGACAAGAGCUAGACAGUGAACAGUGAGCUGACUAGAGAAUGCCAAGUGAAGUAGAUCUCUAAACAAUGCAUGCUUUGGACUUAACUAGUGCAAAUUAAUGGUCAAGAGUGCUACAAAGCAAUAGGAUACUAGUAGACUCAAUCAUUUUAAACUUUUACAAUGAUAAAAGUGGAUCAACAAGUUCAAAUGAUGAUUGUGCCAAAGGUUCCUAAAGAGAGCAUGAUCCCGAGCACAAAAAAGAACUUAAACUUGUGAUCAAAUCACUUAUUUACAGAAGUAAAGCAAUGAUAAUAUUUUAUCAAUCUCACCAAAGGAACAUACCACCGAUCCCGAGAACAUGGUAUACACCUGGAUCGACCAAUUAUUUAGUUUUUUUUGUUUGUCUCCCCAAAGGAACAUACCACCAAUCCCGAGAACAUGGUAUACACCUGGUUCGACAAUUACAUUUUUUAUUAUUAAUUACUACCCAAGCUAACCCAAUCACAUGCCACCGAUCCCAGGAACAUGACAUGCUACUAUAGGUAUUCAGACUUAUUUAUUCAUUAUUACUUAUCUUAAAUGAACAACGCAUAAGCACAAAAAUAGGAAUCAUCACUGCUCCAUGUCUGGUUCACAUGCUACCGAUCCAGGGAACAUAGCAUACUAAUCCAUAGUGGUUAGGUGAUUGCUCUCAAUGGGAACACAUUAGGCACAAACUCAGCAUCUGACUCUUAAUGAUCUAGGUGUAUCGAGGUAAAAGCAGAAAAUGAUUAAGUUUUCUAGUGUACUAGGGAUUUGAGCACUCAAAACUAAUAACUUUCACUAGUUUCAGCAAAACAAGCAGUAUGUAGAUCACUAGUUUACAAGGCAUUCACGAUUCAAUUCACAUAUUCACAUCAAGCAUCAUAUGUCAAAGGUAAAAUUCAGUGGGAAGACAUUUAAGAAAUGGCUUAAGCAACCCAAAUAACAUUUGAUUUCAGCAUGUAUCAAUGGAUGAUAUACUCGGAAUGGGUCAUGAAACAGCUCACCGGGCUUUGAUGAUGUAGCACUCGCUCGAUCACCUCACCAACUGCAGCUCCUCUCCUUUUGCUUCUCUAUCCUCAUGCCUGCUCCAGACUCUCCCUUCCUCGUGUGUGCCCCCUUGCUUCUCCUCAUCCCCAUGCUCUGAGUCCACCACGAUCCCAGGGAAUGUCAUCUCGAACUCGGUCAACUCGCAGUAAAUGGUACACAAGCAUCAACCUGAAAGAACACUCAACAACCAAGCCAAUACAAGUGACAGAGAGAAUGCCCUCUAAGUCAUCGAUAGAGUACCCUAUCAUAUAAGUAUAUCUAUUGAGCAAGUCAGGAACAUGUAUCAACAACAAGUCACAUGGUGCAUAGGCAGUAACCAUGAUAUGGCAUAUCUUGUCGAGAAAGCUGAGGUCAUACCUGAGAUAGUUAGGAAGAAGCUUCAGGACUACCUCCAUUGAAGAUACCAAGUGAGGUGUGGUAGUAGAAAUUUCCACCGGAUUCAUGUCAACAAGUGAAAUAGAGCUUGACUCCUUGAUAUCUGAAUCCACCUCACCAUACUCAACCAUGAAGCUCUCCAUCUCAAGCUCAAGUGUUGAGGAAGCAAUAUGGCUAACAUCAUCGAAGGUGAACUUCUCCAUAUCUGGCUCAAGCAGCACAUGAUCAAUAUCAACUAAAGGUGACUCCUCAAUAUCAAAAACAACUAACUGCAGCUCUGGCUCAUCAAUGGAAGAAUCAUCACAAUGCAAAACCGAGUCUCCAACACUAGUAUCCAUAUGAUCUGUAGCGUGUGUGUCAACUAGAAUGGUGUCAUCAUCGUCAAAGAUAAUCCAUGCAAGCUCAAUCUUGUCACACUGAGAUAGAGAUUCAGGCUUCUGUGUAAGAAUUGGUGGCUGAGGUGUAGUGAUUUGUUGCAAGCAAACCAAUGAAUCAGACGUGGGCUUCUUAUUGUACCACUGAAGUUGGUGGAAAGCUAUGCUCUCAAUCAGCGGAAAAGCUUCAUCAAGUGUCUUGUUUGUAAUAGCUCCACCCGCUGCCAUAUCGACAUAAGCUCGAGUGUCCGAAGUCAAUCCUCUAUAGAAUAUCUUCAGCUCUAACCAUCUCUCGAGCCCAUGAUUAGGACAUCUCCUGAAUAAGGCUUUGUAUCUCUCCCAAGCAUCAUUCAAGCUCUUGCCUUCACGCUGAACGAAAUUGAAGAUCUUAUCUCGAAUUGCGGACUGCUUGUGUAGUGGGAAAUAUUUAUCCAAGAAAGCUCGCGAUAUCUCAUUCCAACUGUAUGACCUUGAUGGCAAGGAUCGAUACCAAGCACGAGCAUCAUUGCGGAGGGAGAAUGUGAACAACCUGCACAUGAUUGCAUCUUGAGGAACUCCAUGGUACUUGACUCUAGCUGAAUACUCCAUGACUCGGUGUAAGUGCUCAUAGGGAUCCUCAGUAGGCAGUCCUCCAAACUGUUGUUGUUGAACCAAAGCAAUAAGACCAGGCUUCAGCUCAAAAUUCUCUACCUCAAUAGUUGGCCAAACCGGUCCUGUGAUAUAACAUUGACUACUUGGCAUCCAAAGAUCACGAAGCAAUGCCAUAUCUUAACCAAGUGUAACUAUAGAACAACCUGCAAAGAUUUAUGAUUCCCUACACAAAUUCAUAAACAGUAAACACUAGUCAGAAGGUUAGUAUCCUAAUAAGCCGAAGCAACAAUGGGGGAAAAUAGAAGAAAAACACUGAAGAUGAAAUACACGAUGAAUUGAACAAGGAACUAAAGUAAACCUAGUCUAUAGCCUAACAUAAUCGCUCGACGCUAGUCCCCGGCAACGGCGCCAAAAUGGUCAAUUGUAAUAUAGCGGGGUUUUUACGCCCCAUACUACGGAUGUCGUGUUCUCCACAGGAACUAGGCGACGACAGUCGUGCUCGGCUAAAGCUAGAUCAGACGAAAAGGUUUGUGAUAUUGCAAGACAAACAAAAGUAAAGCAAGUUUGUUCCAGAAAAUCAUUGACAAAUAAAAUGUACUCACUAUAUUUUUGGUGUUUUUAUUUGUUUUACUUUGGGAACUAAAAUACCAGCACAGGCAGACAUGAGAAACAAGGAAAACUACAAGACACCAACACAUAAAUGUUCAGCAACUAGUAUGAAAGAGAAGAAUUAAGAUCAAGGGACAUGACCAGAAGUACUUCACAUCACAAGCAUAUAUAUAUUCACACGUACAUAGCUAACACAUGGACUAAGAAUUAAAGAUGUUCAAACAACUCACUUGACAGAGAGCACAAACAACACAAAUUGAUCACAAUAGGUAAUAGGAAUAUCAUGGGAAACUGACUGACAAAAAAUUCACAUAUAUUGAAAUAGUAAAACAGAUUACCAAUUAUCAAAUCUUCAUUCUAAAUGUUCACAGAAAUUACACACACACACAUGUACACGCACAAAAAUUGUUCUAGUUCUUGCAAAUCAACAGAAUACAUCCAGACAAGGACAAGUCCGAAUUUCACAGGAACCCAC
rnacentral:lncRNA from 1 species